rnacentral:rRNA from 1 species
UAGGGAAUCUUCGGCAAUGGACGAAAGUCUGACCGAGCAACGCCGCGUGAGUGAAGAAGGUUUUCGGAUCGUAAAACUCUGUUGUUAGAGAAGAACAAGGACGUUAGUAACUGAACGUCCCCUGACGGUAUCUAACCAGAAAGCCACGGCUAACUACGUGCCAGCAGCCGCGGUAAUACGUAGGUGGCAAGCGUUGUCCGGAUUUAUUGGGCGUAAAGCGAGCGCAGGCGGUUUCUUAAGUCUGGUGUGAAAGCCCCCGGCUCAACCGGGGAGGGUCAUUGGAAACUGGGAGACUUGAGUGCAGAAGAGGAGGGUGGAAGUCCAUGUGUAGCGGUGAAAUGCGUAGAUAUAUGGAGGAAAACCAGUGGCGAAGGAGGCUCUCUGGUCUGUAACUGACGCUGAGGCUCGAAAGCGUGGGGAGCAAACAGG